GACGAACGCUGGCGGCGUGCUUAACACAUGCAAGUCGUACGGUAAGGCCCUUUCGGGGGUACACGAGUGGCGAACGGGUGCGUAACACGUGAGUAACCUGCCCACAACUUUGGGAUAACGCUAGGAAACUGGUGCUAAUACUGGAUAUGUGCUCCUGCUGCAUGGUGGGGGUUGGAAAGCUCCGGCGGUUGUGGGUGGAAUUGUGGCCUAUCAGCUUGUUGGUGGGGUAGUGGCCUACCAAGGCGGCGACGGGUAGCCGGCCUGAGAGGGUGACCGGCCACAUUGGGACUGAGAUAAGGCCCAGACUCCGACGGGAGGCAGCAGGGGGGAAGAUUGCACGAGGGGCGCAAGCCUGAUGCAGCAACGCCGCGGGCGGGAUGACGGCCUUCGGGUUGUAAACCGCUUUCAGUAGGGAUGAAGCUUUUUGUGACGGUACCUGCAGAAGAAGCACCGGCUAACUACGUG
rnacentral:rRNA from 1 species